UACGAAGGGUGCAAGCGUUACUCGGAAUUACUGGGCGUAAAGGGUGCGUAGGUGGUUGUUUAAGUCUGUUGUGAAAGCCCCGGGCUCAACCUGGGAAUGGCAAUGGAUACUGGACAGCUAGAGUGCGGUAGAGGGUAGUGGAAUUCCCGGUGUAGCAGUGAAAUGCGCAGAUAUCGGGAAGAACACCCGUGGCGAAGGCGGUUCUCUGGGACGGUACUGACGCUGAGACGCGAAAGCGUGGGGAGCGAACAGG
rnacentral:rRNA from 1 species